UAGGGAAUCUUCGGCAAUGGGGGGAACCCUGACCGAGCAACGCCGCGUGAGUGAAGAAGGUUUUCGGAUCGUAAAGCUCUGUUGUUAAGGAAGAACGAGUGUGAGAAUGGAAAGUUCAUGCUGUGACGGUACUUAACCAGAAAGGGACGGCUAACUACGUGCCAGCAGCCGCGGUAAUACGUAAGGUCCGAGCGUUGUCCGGAAUCAUUGGGCGUAAAGGGUACGUAGGCGGAUAAGCAAGUUAGAAGUGAAAUCCUAUAGCUCAACUAUAGUAAGCUUUUAAAACUGCUCAUCUUGAGGUAUGGAAGGGAAAGUGGAAUUCCUAGUGUAGCGGUGAAAUGCGCAGAUAUUAGGAGGAAUACCGGUGGCGAAGGCGACUUUCUGGCCAUAUACUGACGCUGAGGUACGAAAGCGUGGGUAGCAAACAGG
rnacentral:rRNA from 1 species